UCAUGGUAUUUAAAAACCUCUAUAAACUGGCUUCAAAGUAGUUUCACAAUCUGAUUGUGGAUGGUAAGCGUGCUAAAAGCUAAGGAAGAAUAGAAACCUAUGUUGAAAAUGUCAUGGAAAAGUUGAAGAUCAGUUGGACCUAAUUGUUUAUUUUGUUUUAAAUAUAAAUGUCUUCAAUUUAUUUAACUUUAGCAUCCGUUUUCUGUGUCUUUGCCAUCGUUUCUUCUUUUCCUCAUAUUCACCCUUAUUCUCCAGCCUUAUGUAAAUAUAUUGAAUGAUUCUAUGUGCAAAGUACUAAAGAUACAAAAACGUGUAAGACAAAGUUCUUUCUGUUUUCAUCUUCAUUCUUGGUCGUCUUCUCACUUCUUUAAACUCAGGUCUGCAAUUUUGCAUUGGUUUCUUUCCAAUUUCCAUAUACUCCUUUAAGUCUUCCAAGGUCUCUUUAGGACUCUGAGAUUCUUUUAAGAUCCCAUUACAUAUAUACAUAUACACACACACACACACACACACACACACAAAUCUUCAAUUAACUCCACAAUGUGCCAAUUGCCCAUUUUGAACUUAGAAUUUGGAGUAUCAAGGGCAUAAUGACUUCUCUUCUAUCAAAAUACCAUUCAUACAAUAGGGCUGCUCUAACUUCCGCCUGCUCCAUGAAUCUUUUCCCAAACUUUAUAGCCUCUAUAAAUAUGUCUCUAUUCUUCAUUUACAUAACACAUAUUUGCGCAUGCUGGUAUAUCCCAAACUGUAUUAAGGAAAUGUUGUGGAUGAUAUUAAAUGGCAGGCUGAUGAGAUUAUUCUUCAGAG